GGGUUGUGAGGUUAAGCGACUAAGCGUACACGGUGGAUGCCUUGGCAGUCAGAGGCGAUGAAGGGCGUGCUAAUCUGCGAUAAGCGCCGGUAAGGUGAUAUGAACCGUUAUAACCGGCGAUACCCGAAUGGGGAAACCCAGUGUGACUCGUCACACUAUCAUUAACUGAAUCCAUAGGUUAAUGAGGCGAACCGGGGGAACUGAAACAUCUAAGUACCCCGAGGAAAAGAAAUCAACCGAGAUUCCCCCAGUAGCGGCGAGCGAACGGGGAGGAGCCCAGAGCCUGAAUCAGCAUGUGUGUUAGUGGAAGCGUCUGGAAAGGCGCGCGAUACAGGGUGACAGCCCCGUACACAAAAGCGCAUGUGCUGUGAGCUCGAUGAGUAGGGCGGGACACGUGGUAUCCUGUCUGAAUAUGGGGGGACCAUCCUCCAAGGCUAAAUACUCCUGACUGACCGAUAGUGAACCAG
rnacentral:rRNA from 1 species